GUGAGUGGUUANCGGGUUGUGUGGGUUGGCGGGCUCCGUGCUUCGGCAUCGAACCGUCCGCGCACGCUCCACGUCAGUGACGCUUCAAGAGUUUCUUGUGNCCCGAAAGGAUUCCUGUAUUCGCUACCUAUCGUAAAGGAAUGUCCCCCCUCGUUGACCCUUUCCUUCCCCGACCCAUGCGGCCAGGGGAAGGACAUCACAGUAGUGCUUGUGCCCCUCGCGUUGGACGUGCCUCAUGGUGCGCGCGCAUUGCGACGGUUCCCAAGUUGCCGCUUGAUGUCUCGGAUACGGAACAUUCGGUGGGCCCGGGGUCUUUGCACCCUUAACGUCCGACUCAAAGCGUUUUGUCGCCAGACACGUACGACUGCCGUGCCCGUCGCGGGGUUGCCCGCACGGUGCUCGGCGUCGGCAAAGGAAUGCUACCUGGUUGAUCCUGCCAGUAGUCAUAUGCUUGUCUCAAAGAUUAAGCCAUGCAUGUGUAAGUAUGAACUAAUUCANACUGUGAAACUGGAAAUGGCU
rnacentral:misc_RNA from 1 species